GCCUAGCGUGAAGGUUUGGUGAUCUUUGGAGAGAGGAAAGGCAAGUGCUUGCAGUGGGAAAGAAAGAUCAGAGUCGCCUGCAGUAAUCCAGGCUUCACCUACCUGGCGCCCUCCAGAAGUCUUGGUUUAUAUCUCUCAUCAUCCCCAGGAAACGCGGACUCGAAAGGGACCGGUUGGUCUUGGCCUUACCGUUUAGCGCCACUUAGCGGACAACUGCUGCUACUGAAGACCGGAGGAGACGGGAUAAUCGCACCUAGGCGCCAGGCUCUUCAAUCACCGAGCCCAGCAAAACAGUAAUUAAAAGCCACAACACUGAGCCAGCGCACAUCCUCUGAAAUCCUCAGAAGAAAGAGACAUACCUGUGUGGGAGAAUCAACUUGUUGCAACAGCUGCUAACGGGGAAAGCAAGUUAGCCUGUAAGAAAUUCUUAAAACAGAAUAAAAUCUACCUCUCUUUCCAUCUCU